CAAUAACCAACUUAAUAGACAUUAACCUAUCAUUCACUCGCCUAACCUCAACCACGGACUACCUUAUAUCCCUAUCCACCAAGAUGCCCACUCCAUUCUUACCUCUCACGAUCCCAGAAUACCACAGCUUAAACCCGUCGACAUUCCUCGCCUUCGACCCUUUCCACUUAGUCUCCUGGACACAGGCUAUGUUAACCCUCCACUUCUGAAGAACCUUCGCCAACUCAAU
rnacentral:lncRNA from 1 species